UGAAUACUGGGAGUGGGGAAAUACGAAAGCAAAAAGGAGCAGGCAUUUCUGUUUGGAGAAACUGUGGAGAAGGAACCCUUUGAUCAAAGGAACCAGGUUUUGAUGACUCACAGCUCAUACAAGGUCAUCCUGGGAAAACAGAUCCUGAGAAGUACUGCAGAGCUUGUGAAGUACUGCACUGGCUGGUGUCUGGAUUCUAGAGUUUAUGAUCUGCUCCGAAGCCAGAGAGGUGAUGACUAGAAGGUAGAUAUGAAUUGGGGG
rnacentral:lncRNA from 1 species